rnacentral:piRNA from 1 species
UCCUACAAGGGCUAAGCAGAUCCG